CGGGAUCAGGUUUGUAGCAAUACAAAUCUGGUCCAGUGGCAAACGGGUGCGUAACACGUGAGCAAUCUGCCGGGAAGUGGGGGAUAGCUCGCCGAAAGGCGAAUUAAUACCGCAUAUGGCCAGGGAGGACAUCCUUCCGAAGCCAAAGUCGCAAGACGCUUCCUGAUGAGCUCGCGGCCUAUCAGCUAGUUGGUGAGGUAACGGCUCACCAAGGCUAUGACGGGUAGCUGGUCUGAGAGGACGACCAGUCACACUGGAACUGAGACACGGUCCAGACACCUACGGGUGGCAGCAGUCGAGAAUUUUUCACAAUGGGGGAAACCCUGAUGGAGCGACGCCGCGUGGAGGACGAAGGCCUUCGGGUCGUAAACUCCUGUCAUGCGGGAACAAGAAAGUGAUAGUACCGCAAGAGGAAGAGACGGCUAACUCUGUGCCAGCAGCCGCGGUAAUACAGAGGUCUCAAGCGUUGUUCGGAUUCAUUGGGCGUAAAGGGUGCGCAGGCGGCGUGGAAAGUUGAGUGUGAAAUCCUGGGGCUUAACCUCAGAACUGCACUCAAUACUCCCAUGCUAGAGGAAUGUAGAGGAGAGUGGAAUUCACGGUGUAGCAGUGAAAUGCGUAGAUAUCGUGAGGAAGACCAGUUGCGAAGGCGACUCUCUGGGCAUUUCCUGACGCUCAUGCACGAAGGCCAGGGGAGCAAACGGGAUUAGAUACCCCGGUAGUCCUGGCAGUAAACGGUGCACGUUUGGUGUGGGCGGGCUCAGACCCCGUCCGUGCCGGAGCUAACGCGUUAAACGUGCCGCCUGGGAAGUACGGUCGCAAGAUUAAAACUCAAAGAAAUUGACGGGGGCCCGC
rnacentral:rRNA from 1 species